GUCACCACUCCUUUCCAAGGCAAUGACCUGGAAGUUACUGCCCAUUUUCUGGAAAGUUCUAAGUAACCCAUGCAUUUAUAGAUAAUAGGACUCCAUUGUAGUUCCUUUCACUCCUGGCUUUCUAGGAGUUUUUAUUAUUUUAACUCAUAAAUGGGUUUUCAUAUCAAUCCAAUGCUUUGUGAUUUCUUUUGUAUUUGAAAAUAACUAUGAAUUCAUCAGAAGUUGCAAGAAUAAUACAGAAAAUCCUGAAGUGCAAAUUACAGAUGAGUUUCUUGAUCACAGAUUAUUGUCCUGUCCCGUUCAUAUUUCUUUUUUUAAAGGAAUUACAGCCAAAUUUUUGUAGAAAGACAGCAAGAAAGGUACUGAAUUAUAUGCAAGACUUUGACAUUGUGUCUGAGAUACAGCAGAAAGAGAAGCCAGAAAGUUUAAAAGCAUGUGAAGAACCUGAGUCACCAUUGCUGGAGGGAGCCCUAUGGAAAGCAUGAGAAGAAAUGUAAGAGCCUUUUGAAGCACAGAUUGAUCCCAUCUGAUAACCAACAAGGAAAUGGGGCUUUAGGCAUAUAAUUCCCAAGGAACUGUAUUCGUCCAGCAGACAACAUGAGCUCAAAAGUAUAUUUUCCUCCAGAUUCUCUGGGAAGAACACAGCACUACAAACAUGAUUUCAGCCUCCUGAGAUCCUAUGCAGAUGUCCUAGUUUAGUACACCCAGACUUCUGAUCUAAAGAAGCUGUGAGAUAAUAUAUUUCUCUUGUUUUAAGCUGGUACAUUUAUUUUAUGUCAGCAAUAGAAAAUUAAUACAGACAUUAAGUAUUUGUGUGACUUUGGAAAAGCUAACUAAAUUAUUUAAGCAUUGUGCCCUAGCUAAUUUAUCAAAUGUUUAUUGAGUGUUUUGUAUGUAUUGUUAGUCAUUCAAAGAUACAUGUGAAAAGAAGCCAAGUUGAAUAGCAUACAAUCUCUAUCCUUAUCUAGAGGAAAAACUAUAGAGAUGAUGGCUAAGGUCUCUUUAGACACUAAAAUUUUAUACAUAAACUUUAAAUAUUUAUUAUAUGAGUGCCAAUAGUAAUUUAGGAAAGCUGAAUGAUCGUAGUUAAUUUCCCCGUUAAGAUGGCUUGUGACUCGUGGUACUGAGAUUUGAAUGCUUUAAAUAUUGAUGGUCAUUCUAAACUUUUCAUAGAUUACUCUAAAACAAUACCAAUAGUUAAAUAUUAAUAAAAUAAUAAUAAUAAAUAGAAAAUUGAAAUAGAUUACAUGGAAAAAUAGCAUCAAGAAAUAUGCACUAUAAAUCUAGUUUUGAAGAAAUUAAAAAUAAACAUUAUUAGAAAAGUUAUAACAAAUUUUUUAUUUGGUUUGAAAAUUCUAUAUAUUAUUUCAGGAAAAAAUGUAAUUUUAUUUAUAUUAGAGAACAUUUAUCAUCAGGUAAGAUAUUUUGGAUUUUUAACAUUUUAUCUUGAUGUCCGUAGAUUUAGGUGGUAUUUUAAAAGAAGAAUGGCACAAUUCCUGAACACAAAAUAACUUUCGCAGUUUGAAUACUUUCAGAAAGUAUUACACUGAUAAUAAACUGUUGUUUUUAAUUUAAUAUCUAAAUUGAAAUUAAGUACUUCAAAGGUUAUUUUUCAAUUGUACAGGAUUUAAAAACCAUAUAAGGAGCCAUCUUUAUAGAUAAUAAUUUUACCAUUUAAUAAAUGCAUCAAACAUUGCAAAAUAUAUAUUUUUUUUAAUGAAAAAGACUAGCAGGGCUUUUGCUCCUUUUGGACCAAAUCACUAAAACCUAACAACAACUUGAAGCCUUAUUUAUAGAAUGGCAUUUAUUAUAAUAUUUCUGAGUUUGUCAGUCAUGCAACUAAUUAAUCAACUUAGGACUGUGUCUCCAAAGAUAGAGUUUAAAAAUAAAAUCAAUAUGUACUUUUAUUUUAACUAACUGAAUAUUACAGGUAAGAUUUUAGUAAACAUUUUGUAGUUAGCAAUAUAAAAUUAAAAUACAAAAAUAUUUAUGGCAGAUGGCCCAGAAACUAUGCUUUGUUUGUCUGAUUAAAAUGCAUAUUUACCAAUCACUUCCAAAUAAUUUUUCUAGAACUUCUAUGUGAAAUGUGCACUUUUUGAUUUUAAAAAAUCAGGAAAUAAUACAUGUGCUUAAUGUAAGAGAGAUGAGUUCAACUGAGCUUUAACUGGAUGAGUCAUGCAUCAUUUGCAUUGCCAUUAACUAACAAUCAUCCUUUAAUUCCCCUUGGCUUUCACAUCUCAAACAUUCCAUGUGCCUAAAGUUACCCAAACUCCCACAGCAAUUAUCAGAACAAAACAAGUGGACCAAUUCUUCAAGAAAAAGAAAGAACUGGAACCCAAAAUGAUCAUAUAUGCAUUACACCUCCCUCUACCACACACCGCUUAAAAGCACUGGCUAUCUGUUAUUAUUUGUAAUAAUAUAGAAGCUAGAUCUCUGCUCAGCUGUACCUGUAGAUCCUACAGUUUUUUUUGAAUAUUAACAAUGCAUUAUUUAUAAAUAAAAUUUUAUUACUAAAAAGAUUAGUAUUGCAUACACUCUGAGAAAUUUGGUGACAGCUAGAUAAAAUAUAAGUUCAGGUGAAAUACUAUCUAUAAAUAUAUGAAAAAAUAGCAGGGCUACCAGCAUUUCUGUUAAUGGCAUAAGAUCAGAUAGUAUGAAAAAACACUGGGGACUAGUUUGGUUUUUUUUGUUUUUUGUUUUUUUUUGAGAUAAACUCUCGCUCUGUCGCCCAGGCUGGAGUGCAGUGGUGCUAUCUCGGCUCACUGCAAGCUCUGCCUCCUGGGUUCACGCCAUUCUCCUGACUCAGCUUCCCGAGUAGCUGGGACUACAGGCACCCACCACCACGCCUGGAU
rnacentral:lncRNA from 1 species